GACGUCGUGCCCGAGUGGUUAAGGGGAGUGAUUAGAACAUGCUGUGGCAUUAGUAAACAUCACUUACGUUCUGCGUGCGCAAGUUCGAGUCUUGUCGACGUCG